AAUGAUCCAGCGCCGGAGAGAGCUCCACCACACUCUCAAGUAGCUCCUCCGACAGGCUUGAUCAGCUGCAGGAUCUAAAGAGAUAAGAGUUCAGCUUACUGGUGUGGCCCUCCCAGUUUCUCAUGUGCCCACCCCUGCUCAGAAGCGCCCUAAGGGGGAGAAAAGUGAUGAAUCUAAGGUCCCAUGACUGACAGGGACAGAAAGUAUUAACAUGUCACCAUCAACGUUUGCUUCACAAGGUGCACGUGCUCCAAGGUGAUGCUGAGAGCUGAUGUUUCACAAAAGAAAGACAGACAGAUGGAAAUGAAACUUAUACCAAAGUCCACAUGAGAGAAACUGCUUGACUUUUUUAAUAUUAGUUAGUUUACUUCAGUUCUAACAGAAAAUAAUGUGUUUCUGUUAUUUUAGCCAACAUGCACCUGCCUGCACCAAUUACAAAUGUGAAAUGUAAUACAUAUAUGUAUUACAUCAC
ensembl:lncRNA